AGGGAACGGACUCUCGGUUGGGUGAGUGAAACUCACUACAGACUGAGGUUCAUUCCAAGGUUUCAUUUCCAGCAAAAUCAGAACCACGGUUGGGUCCAGGAACUGCUGUUCCGAUCAUUCAGACAACCUGGCAGGCGAACCUGAGAUCUGUGGAACUCCCUUUCCAUGGAGACCUAUCAACAGCUACAUGCAUUCCAGAAGUGCAAGACCUUUUCAUUUGGAUUGGUUGCAAAGAUCACCAAGACGGCAAAGACGGAAGAAGAAACACAAGUGACACAGGUGACACAAGGCGAGCUGAACAACUACGAGAUGCACAUCAGGGUCACUAACAUUUAAUACUCAUUGGUGAGAGAACCAAUUAGUCUCUUCCUGCAACAUGAUCUCAACAGCCUUCUCAAAAGUAAAGUGAAGAUACGUCAGCAAGUGAUCGGA